AACAACAACAACAACAAAAUAUAAUAACAAUAAUAAUAAUAAUGAUAAUAAUGAUUAUGAUGAUGAUAAUAAUAAUAAUACUGCCUCUCCAAACAGCCUGAUUAACACCUCUGUUCUUUUUAAAGAACUUCACCUGACUCAUGCUGCCUGCUUUAUGAGCUAUGCAAAUGAACUGUUGACAUUUUGAUCUAUAGGAUAUAUAACCCUCACCACAAGGUCGGCCUUGAAUUUGGGAGGAGAAAGGAAAACUUGUGUUACAAUGCUGCAAUUUCUGGUGGAGUACGGCUGAUCUUGCUUUGAACCGUGCCGGAGAGUUCUCUUGUCAUUUAUUCCCUUCAUUUUGGGGUCGAGUUUUAGCACUUGGGGGAGCUAAGGGGAGAAAGAAAAAAACCCCAACCCAGAAUUAGCAGGGUUUCAAACAGAAUUUGUUAUGUAGAAUUACUAUAGAAAUGUCCAGAUUUCUGAGUGACUCCAUGCUUCGGGGUGAGGUGCUCCGGACUGGCAAAAUCCUCAAGUUGUCCAAGAACAAUUUCAUUUUAGGGAUGUGGUUUGCAGACAUACAGGCUGAGAUUUAUGAAGAUUUCGUAUGAAUACUACAUCAUAUUGACACUAAUUAUUUCAUCGUGGUUAUUAAUUACAAACUAGCUGUGAAAGCCAGCUUUUGGAAGCGUGGCAUCUCUACUAUUUCCAAGGCACUCUUUGCAAGAGCAAGGCUUUGUUUCUAGCAAUCUGUAAUUCACUGUUUACCCCUACAUUUUUUUGUCAUUUCUAUUUGAAUGCUGUUCCCUUUGCUGCUUUGGCUUCUCAAAAGUGGUGGUGGGGGGGGGGGAAGGAUGUACUUCAGCAGCCGGUGAUUUAUGGAUAGGUGAGUGGACGCAUGUGUUCAGCAAGCGAUCUGGGGAUUCCUGCUAAUGGAAAAGCAGAGAAAGUCAGAGGGCGACAUCCAUCUCUCAGACCCCUGGCACGUCGGACGGCUCAGUGGCACUUGUACAUAGACGGGAACCGGUUUUGAAUCCCUUUUGUAAACCUAACUGCUUUGAUGCUCAGUUAUGGCAGCAAUGUCAACAUUUCUUAGCAAUCCUUUUUGCUUUUCACUUUUUCAUUUGGGGAAAGGAUUUUAUGAGAAACCUAAUCAAACUGGCAGUACAGCCCAGUGCUUCGAAUGACGUAUGUAAUCGCCCUUCCUGCCUUUUUCCGAGAUACCAGCUCAACUGCCGCUGGAACAGUGAAGCUCACCUGGAGCCAGGAGCAGGGAGAAUUCCCAAAACAGUAUCCAGGUAAGCAGGUGGGGGGGUGGCUCGUCACCAUCUAUGGAUUAAUAGCAGUAACGGGAGCUCAAGGAAGGUCUCGUUUCCUUGGCACCUCAGCCCUGGUUUGCAGCAAUAUUAAAUAAGCGUCGCUCUGGCUCAUCAACUCUCACUGCUGUGAACCACAGCAGCUUAUUUGUUUGCAAAGAAUGAUAAAUUCUGAUUUUGGUAAGUUACUGUACCUUGUUACAAACUUCGCUUUUGACUAAAAAGGGAUUUCAACAAAAGCAAAGUUUUAAUGGCCCCCUUUGAAAGUAAUUUCUACCUUGCUGGACAAACCAGGAAGGAACAAGAGAUUUUUUUUUUUUAAAUCCAACUGUAUUGCUAAUAUUUAUUCCUUGGUUCUCUUGGACAAGUCUUACUCUAAUGUGAUGGGGGAAAUGGUUUUUUAAACUUUGCAGUGGCUUUUGGAGCAUUAAAUCUGAAUUAGUCUGCCAGUCUUCCUCUGAUGAGUAUUACACUUUUUUUGAUCUUCCACUGGAAAUUAGAGAUUUGCUGAAUGAAGUGUAAAUGCACAUUUACAUGUACAUCAAAGUCAAAAUCAAGGUAUUUUCUUUUUCCUGCAAUGCUAUUACGGAUGCAUUCAUUAAAAAAUGGUUCUGCCUUAAUUUUGUUCUCAGGCUAAAUAAGGGCUAAAUAAGAUACAACUUACAAGGUCAGGCCGCUGUCAAAGAGAACCAUGACAAGAGCUUUAUUAGCACUGGCAUUUACAGCUGCUCUCGGACAUCGCGGGGCCCGGGAUCGGAGGUUUUGGUCAGAGCAAACGUAUCCAAAGGAUUAUUCUGGUGAUACUCGGCACGGUGGUCUAGAUGCCGAAAAGCUACUUCAGGUAUCAUUUAUUCUGCGCUCACCCCCUUCUACCUGUUUUUCUCCAGCCUCACUGCUGGUGACUGUGUGAGCUGAACCUCUGACUUCCCAUCACCUACACUGCAGGAUCCGAACCCGAGAUAUUCAGCAUCCAGAAGAGAUGUAACAGCUACGAUGCUCAGUCCGAGUGUACAACGUACAUAUUCUUACUGCAUUUAACAAAUGCCCUGGACCUGGCGAUGCUGUGCCCGUGACAUAUGGAAGGAACGCAACCCAUCAAACUUCUAAUGGACUUGUCUUAAGCGAGCAGCUGCUCCAGCUCUGAAAGGUAAGGCUAUAAGCACAAGUGAUUUUGGCAUCACCUGGGUGGAUCAGGAAGAAGCUGAGGAAAGCUCCACGUACCGGUUUGAGAACUGAUUUGGAAGCUGGACGACCUCCGUGAUGGCUUCAGGAUUUCGUUUUGCAAUGCCGCACAUGUCCAGUUUGCUGUAGCACUCCUCUUGCACUUCGGAGAUCAUUCUUUGGAAUGUGGAGCACCUCCGGAUGGCAAGGAACACCUUGGAC